rnacentral:rRNA from 1 species
UACGUAGGGUGCGAGCGUUAAUCGGAAUUACUAAGCGUAAAACAUACACAAACAGUUUUAUAAGCCAAAUGUGAAAUCCCCGGGCUCAACCUGGGAAUGGCAUUUGGAACUGCAAGGCUAGAGUAUGGCAGAGGAGACUAGAAUUUCUGGUGUAGCAGUGAAAUGCGUAGAUAUCAGAAGGAAUACCGAUGGCGAAGGCAGGUCUCUGGGUCAAUACUGACGCUCAUGCACGAAAGCGUGGGGAGCAAACAGG